GUUCAUCACACUGCACGCAUCUGAUUUGCGAUGUUAUUUCACAAACAGCACACCUGCAUGAGCUCACAACUUCAGAUCUUACAAACAGAAAGUUACAAACGACAGGAUUACAGUAAAUAUCAGUAGUAAAAACCUAAUCCAAUCAAUUCCGGGACUCCUGGUGCGUGCGAUGAAGCGUCAGCACGAAAAGGUCAGUGAACUUUACGACGAAUAAAAAGAGGAAAUUUCACGCAGCAGAUCAGCUCCUUUACAUGCAUUGUGUGGCGUGCUUCAUAUUUUGGCUUGAUUUAAUUGACUUAGAAACGACAGCAACAAACUGCCAGCGCAGAGAGAACAGCCAGACAGGCCUUCACUUUUAAGAGGGUGAGACAGGGGCGAGUGCAAAAAUAAUAAUGCAAAAACCAGCGACAAACAAAAGUAAUAGUAGUAGUAGUGUGUGUGUGUGUGUUUAGACAAAAAGAGUUGUUAAUACUGCAGCACCUACUCACUCUCCCUCUCUCUCUCAGUUUCUCUCUGCCAGCAGUGCCUAGCUGAUCCCAAAUAAAACCUAUUAAAUGUAAUUAUUCUGGGCUGAUGGCGCUCUAUAGCGGUCGGAGGGUCUGGUGAGCUCGGUGAGUCACUGGCUGGGCUGUUACUUCGCUUAUAAUGGGAAACAUGACUCCUAUCUCCCCUUCUCUCGGCUUGGCUGUUGUGAUUGAAGCCACUGACCUGUCAUACAUUUAUAAUAGGGGGAGCAGGUGUGGCAUUGAUGGACCUUAAUUUCCUUUAAUAAACCUUUUAUGUGGCCCACUCUUAAUGCCACGCUGGCCCUCUCCCGGCUCCCGACGCGUAAUAGCUUCAUUACUUUUGAUUACUGGGGGCCCCUAUUGAGACAAACAACUCCCAAACACUAUAGAUUACAUUCUGUAAAAACUAAUGUACCUGAUUAGUUCAUUACACUCGCUCGCUCGCUCGUGUACACAUAGACGCGCGCUAACACACGCCACGCCAGAAGUGGCCCGCCGCUUCCGGACGGGCUUUUCUGAGCGCCUCUUGAAAGCCCAAACUAUUAAAAACUGCCAGAGUCAGGUUUUGUUUGGUGAUUUCGCUAUUGUUUCACUGGGAGGGUGAAAAGAAAUCUUUUAUUAGCCCCACAAGUGCUGGGGUUUAUUGUAACAAAGGGGAAGCAGAUUUCCAGGCUUAUGUAAUUUGAUAUUUCUGAUAUUCUGAAUGGAAACUUUGACAUGAGGAGGAGAGAGCUAUCAGGCAACAGCUGGCUGCUAACAAUCCCUUAAAUUACACCGUCACCACCUUGCAAAACCGAACCAUGUGUCAACAAGCGCCGAGAACCUCAAGUCGGUUUCGAACUGAAACAACUUUGUAAAUGAUGGCCCAAGUGGUUCCAAAGCCAAAUCACAGAGUAGUUUAAUAUAGUAGAGUUAUUAUUGCACAAGCUAAACUUUUUAGAACAUUGUCAGAAAUCUAAAAUAAUCACAUUUAUUCAUAUUAAAUAAUAUAUUUGACUUGAAUAAAACCAGUUCAUUUAAAUCA
ensembl:lncRNA